rnacentral:rRNA from 1 species
UACCAGCUCUCCGAGUGGUAGGGAUGAUUAUUGGGCUUAAAGCGUCCGUAGCUGGCCUCUCAAGUCUCUCGUUAAAUCCAGCGAUUUAAUCGUUGGACUGCGGGAGAUACUGUUAGGCUAGGAGACGGGAGAAGCCGACGGUAUUUUCGGAGUAGGGGUAAAAUCCUAUAAUCCCGGGAAGACCACCAGUGGCGUAGGCGGUCGGCUAGCACGCGCUCGACGGUGAGGGACGAAAGCUGGGGGAGCGAACCGGAUUAGAUACCCGGGUAGUCCCAGCUGUAAACGAUGCGGACUAGGUGUUGGAGCGGCUACGAGCCGCUUCAGUGCCGCAGGGAGCCAUUAAGCCGCCGCCGAGGGGAGUACGGCCGCAAGGCUAGAAACUUAAAGGAAUUGGGCGGGGGAGCACCACGAAGGGGUGAAGCUCGCGGUUU